UCAAGUUAAACGGCGCUUAAAGUGUGUUACGGGUCUCCAAGUGGCGAUAGUUAAAAAGGUGAGCAUUUUAACUCUGACAAAUGCACCGCCGCAAAGCAGGCUGGGUAGAAACGCAGAAAGUAUGGCGGAAGAAGAAGAGCCGCAGAAGAAAAGAAGGAGAAUAGCGGCGCUGACUGAGAAGUUAGCUGGCUGCAGUAUGACAGUUGGAGGUUGCAGCAUUGGUGACUGGGAUGGCUGCUGGAGUCAGAAGCUUCUGGAGAAAUCUGGCCCUUUCACACACCCAGAAUUUGAGCCUAGUGAGGAGAUGGAGUUCCCAUUGACAUGCAUUAUACAACUGACAGACAGGAACGGUUACAGUUAAAAAUCAUCAUUUGUGUUCUACUGAAGAAAUAAAAUCACCUACAUCUUGGAUGCCCUGGGGAUGCUGUUGCUCGGGACGGUGAUAACCUGAAGCAUGUGUUGUAGGAGUCUUUAGAGAGAGCAGAUGAGAUUAAUAUCACUGGUUUCCCCUACAGACUCACUCAAGGUGUGGUUAAACUCAUCAUCCCUGCUGUUGCAUCCACAAAUGCAGUCAUUGCUGGUAUGGAUUUUACCUGACAUGUCAGGAAUCCCACCCCCCAUUUUCAGCUGCUUGCACCACAGAAGUUUUUAAAAUUGCUACAAGACAAAUGAAGUCCCCAGCUAUCACUGCAACACUUGAAGAGAAAAAUAAAACAGGCAAG